rnacentral:lncRNA from 1 species
ACUGAUUCAACAAAAUACCCAACUAGCUAGGCAAUAAACAUAAAUAAUCUAAGUACCACAAAACCAAAUUAUAUAAUCCAAAAGGUUGAAAUUCUGAAAUCCAUAUCCUAAGAAAAUGCUUAAUUAAAACCUUAAACCUUGUAGUUAUUGACCUUCCAGAAAAAAAUCUAUCUGCAAAUCAAAAAAACCAAAUUAGCUUAUAAUACACGACGUAGUAUUUUGCAGAAAUUAUGGAAGUUCAAACCAAAUCCAAUUCUUGUUACCUAAAACAUCCCGAAUGUUUUGAAGAAUUUGUGCUUUUCUUAUUUUGCUACUAUGGAUUGUUCCAAAAUGUAGUAAUCUACAAGUCAAAAUCUUUGAGAAUGUGCCAAACAGUUACCAUAACUAGUUGUGAAGGAGCAGAGCUAUAAGUCAAUUCUUCUGCACAUCACAAUAAUUAUGAUACUCAAAUUUAUACAAAAAAAAUCUCUUCACAAAAGGCAGAGGCAUAAACGGUAAACCAUUCAAACAAAAGUAUACAAGGACAAAACAAACACUUAAGUCACCCUCAUAAAUUCAUGUAAGAUUGUUGGACUCCACUCACCUUGCUGAACUGGUGAGGUAAAGACAUGUCCUUCCAUAAUUUGUCUUGUCAACACGUUCCAAUAAUAAAUCAAGGUCUUCAACCUAUAAUGAUUCAAAAGGCCACUUACAUAUGUAUCUUGAAGUGCAAAAAGAAAGGAUACACAAGGAAUACAACAAGUAAAUACAUCCAUCAGAAGAUCGACAGCCUUAGGUUUAGCAUUAUGCUGCAAUGCAGAAUCAUAGAUUUCUUACUAAAAAUCUUACUAAAAUAUGCAAUCCACAAAUCUCAUAACAAAUAAACAUAGCUUCUAUCCACUAUCUUAGCUGAACAGAACUUUAAUAGCUCACCUGAAAUCUCUUUGAGAAGAUAUAACCACUCAAAAAACCAAUAAGAUGAAUCAUACCUUCUUGUGAAAGGCAACAAUUUGUUUUUUAAGAUCCAUCAAAUCAUCAAUUGUUGCAUCUUCACUCAAAAAUAGUUUGUGUAAACAAAAGACAUAUUAGAAAGGAUUUAUAAGCAAUUAAUACCUGACCAUAUAUAUCCCAAAUUGCUGAAGUAUAACGUACUAAUCUAAACGUAUGAAGUAAGUUACUACUACCAUUUGUAUCAACUACAAACUAGUCUUUUCACGUCAAGUUUCAUCACUUUACGUAUCUUAUGUAGACAGAACUGCUAAGGCUUAAUUAACUAUGACUAAAUUAACAAUAACCUCAAACACAAAGUGCUAAGGCUUAAUUAACUAUGUCCAAUUGAAUGAGAAUCUGGUCCAGUUGUUAAAGAAAGAGGGAACAAAUACACCAAUAUAAAAUUUCAGUUCAACCAUAAGUUGAACAAAUGAAAGAGGGAACAAAUACAACAAUAACAAACAAAGGUUCUUGAUUGUAAGUCGCAGCUCGCCAACAGUGCCAUCCAUAGUAUCUUGGCUUAUGACACUGUUAGGGGAAGCCAAAGGCAUGCUAGAGCUGAAAUUUGGUUCACUUUCUUGGUAUUAAUUCUCUGACUGGAUUAGAUAUCCCAGUUCUCUCCAGCUUGCAAUCAAACGUUUGAGCACAUAAUUUGUCUUAGGCAGUUGAGUGCCAUUUAGCUUCUGUCGUGUAAUGGGGCAAGUGGAUUUUCCCCUAUCAAUCUAUUCUUGGAUUGUUUUCGUUCAUAAGUUUGUCCUGUCUUAAGAGUCACUGGAUCAUCAAAUAUGUUACUUGUUAUGGGACAAACAAAAUCCUUAGGAGCUGCACUGCUGACAAUGAACUGAUAACUUACUGGAUGUUGAAAGGAUACCUCAGCUGCAUCAAUUCUAUUGAGAAGGCUUACGAGACAGGACAUCAUGUGUUGAUGGAUCUAAUAGAUUGCCAGAUACUGAAAGAACUAGAGGCUGGUUAUGUGAUUAUGAAUAGACCUGAAUUAGAUUUAUAUGUUUUCCUCCAGCCUGGAUUUGGUGCAAUAGCCAGACUAGGAUUGGCUACUAUAUUUGAAUCCAAUUCGAAAGGCUUUGGGAGAAUCACACAUAGAGAUGGUAUCAUGCAAGCACUUUCUAAGAACAGUGAAGGAUAAAUUUUUUCUACUUUAUUGCUCGAUGGUGACCAUAGUGAGGAUGUCCUGAUUAGUUCCUUUUUGUCCAAGGAGUAACUUCAAGGUCUUGCCCUUUUCAACUCAACAAUCAAAUCGCUGACAUUGCUCUUAUUUGGCAUGAAAAGCCUUCAUGUGCUUGUUCUCAGAGGCUGUGAUGUUAUGGAGGAUAUCCAUCCUCUUACUCUUCCAAGUUUAGCUGUUCUUGAGAUUUCUGGUCCUAGUUUAGUGGAAAUUCUUCUAGUUGAUUUCUUUGAGGGCAUGCAUUCUCUUCGAACUCUCAAUCUCUCUGAACUAUGUAUCAAAUCAUUACCUAAAUCACUUUACCAUUGUAAGGAACUGCGUUGGCUAAUCCUUAGAAUGUUCUCCAACUUAGAGGUCCUAGGUAGUGUUACAGAACUAACACAUCUUAUGGUUCUUGAUCUUUUUAAUGCUACCUCUUUGAAGGUUAUCAAAGAUAAGCACUUUCUUAAAAAAGAGAAUCUCCAUACCAUUAAUCUUUAAAAAAACCAGGAUUAAAACCCUACCGUUGCUCAAAGAUCUGGUAAAUCUCACUCAUCUCUUUCUAAGAUAUUGUACAAUUUUAGAUAGACUGCGCGGCAUGGCUACACUAAAAAAUCUCCAAGUUCUUGGUCUUUCAAAUUCGUCAAAGUUUCAGAAAUUUCAUGAUCAAUCAUUGGGAGUUUUGAAAAACCCUAAAAUCCUCUAUCUAUCUGGAUGUUCACUUAAUCAUCUACCUUCCAACAUUAGCAAUCCUCAUUACCUCUAUCUAAGAGGUUGUUCUCGCUUAAAGAUCCUGUUAAGUAUGAAAGCUCUCAAAGACCUUGAGGUACUUGAUGUUUCAGGCUCCAGCAAAUUGACUAAAAUUGGAGAUGAGUUCUUUAAACAUCUGACAUGUCUUCGAGUACUCAAUCUUUCAGAAUCAAUUGUUAAAAGCUUGCCAUCUCUUUCUAGUCUUCAGAAUCUUCGUGAGCUUUUACUAUCACGUUCCGCAUCAUUGGAGAAGUUGGAGGGAUUAAAUUCCCUUAAAAAUCUUGAGGUAAUUGUUCUUUCGUACUACAGUGCAUUGAUAGACAUAGAAGAUAAUUCUUUUCAUCAUAUGUCUCGCUUACUGAGGCUUGACCUCUCCAAUACAAAGAUUGAAAGCCUGCCACCCCUUUCAAAUUCUAUAAACCUUCAUUGCUUCGUACUGAAGAAUUGUACCCAAUUGAAGUUUCUUUCAUUGCCUACAAUUCUAACUGGUGUCGAUCUUUCAGGAGACGUAUGAGCUGAUUUCGUGGAGUGUAUGAGUAAACUUAGGAUUCUUAACCUCUCUGAAACCAAGCUUAAACAUCUGCCAUCUAUGUUAAAACUUAUAAAUCUUAGUCAUCUUUAUCUAGGGGGUUGCCAGCAUUUGAAAGAAAUGCCAGAAUUGGAUAAACUUACAGAACUAGAGGUUCUGGAUCUUUCUAGAACAGUUGUCAGCCGGCUAGAAUCCAUUCACUACUUGAGAAGCCUUCGUCAUCUCCUACUUAGAGAUUGCUCAAACAUUCAAGACAUCACACAGCUGAAGAUGAUUGAUCUUUUGGGGCCGAGUGUUGCAGAACUUCCCUGCGAGAUCUCAGAUUUAACUCAUUUUGAGCUCCUUGAUCUGCCAAGAAGUAAAGAAAAUCAAGGAUCUGACACCACAAAGAACCCACUAGAAUAUCAAAAUCAGCAGCAGUGCAUGGUUCUAAUAAUUAAAUGAAUAUAACAAGCAAGAAAAAUAUGUACGGACAUUAGAUUCAUUAAUAGACAAUUUGAGAAGUGCAGUGACUACAUUUUCCUGUAUUUUUGCGUCUAGUGAAUGGAGUAGAUUAACCAACAAGGGAAUGGCCCCACAGUUCGCAAUUACAAUUCGAUUAUCCAUGUUAUGUCUUGCAAGUACCCAAAGUUCAGCUAUAGCAUUUCUUUGUUCUUCAAGUGAAGUGCUCUUCAAGUCCUCAACUAGAUUUUGAAUUUGGGUUUCAACCUCAGAAGGAAUAGCCCUUGUUUCAGUAGCAGGAAAAGACACAAUUCUAGGAACAAACCUAUCAGAAGGUCGACGCCAGAUUGCCUGGGUUCGAGAUCUUGUCCCAAAUUAAGGCGAGAACUCAGACUCUCUCUGUGAGGAAGACAAGUUAGCAGCAGAACGUGGCUCUGAUGUAAGCUCCCCUGAAGCAUCACUACUGUAGGCUAUCACCUGUGAGGAGACCCCAUUGACAUCAGCAGGAACUCGUUACCAUAUAAUCGGAUAAAAAUAAAACUUGUUACAUAUUUAUACAAUCAUAUUGGAAUGUAAAAAUAAGGAUUUAAAAAUUUUGCAACACAUGGACAAAACAUCAAACAUGUGGUGCACAUAUAUCUAAAAUCAAAAUUGAUUGAACAUCAAAAUCACCACAUAUAACCAAAAUCAGAUUUGAUUAAGCACAAAUGAAUGAACAAAGUGCAGAUAUUACAAAUAAAUAAAUUCAAAUUAGCUUUCUUACCGAAUUGAAAGAGAAGAAAAAUUACCUUAGAAAAUGAAAAUCAAUUUCAGAUGAUACAUGUAGGAGAUAUAGGAGAGAAAAGAAAGGAAAGAAGAUGGAUAUGUAAUUGUGAUGGAGGACAUGAGGGCAAGCGAAGCUAUGCAAUGGGAUCAAUUGACAUGUGAAUUUUGGCCAAGAAAGAGAGGAAAAACCCAAAUUGGUAUGGAUCCUAAAUUUGGUCUCGCCAUACAACUAGAUGCUAAAUUAGGGACUCCAAAAACAGAGUUUG